AGUGAACGCUGGCGGUAGGCCUAACACAUGCAAGUCGAACGGCAGCACAGUAAGAGCUUGCUCUUACGGGUGGCGAGUGGCGGACGGGUGAGGAAUACAUCGGAAUCUACUUUUUCGUGGGGGAUAACGUAGGGAAACUUACGCUAAUACCGCAUACGACCUACGGGUGAAAGCAGGGGAUCUUCGGACCUUGCGCGAUUGAAUGAGCCGAUGUCGGAUUAGCUAGUUGGCGGGGUAAAGGCCCACCAAGGCGACGAUCCGUAGCUCGUCUGAGAGGAUGGGCGGCCACACGGGAACUGAGACAAGGUCCAGGCUCCGACGGGAGGCAGCAGUAGGGAAGCUUCAGCAAGGGGCGAAAGCCUGAAGGAGCAAAGCCGCGGGAGUGAGGAAGGUCUUCGGAUCGUAAACCGCUGUUAUUAGGGAAGAACAAAUGUGUAAGUAACUAUGCACGUCUUGACGGUACCUAAUCAGAAAGCCACGGCUAACUACGUG
rnacentral:rRNA from 1 species